GACGAACGCUGGCGGCGUGCUUAACACAUGCAAGUCGAACGCUGAAGCCCCAGCUUGCUGGGGUGGAUGAGUGGCGAACGGGUGAGUAAUACGUGAGUGACCUGCCCUUGACUCUGGGAUAAGCCUGGGAAACUGGGUCUAAUACUGGAUACGACAGUACAUCGCAUGGUGUGUUGUGGAAAGGGUUUGUACUGGUUUUGGAUGGGCUCACGGCCUAUCAGCUUGUUGGUGGGGUAAUGGCUCACCAAGGCGA
rnacentral:rRNA from 1 species